rnacentral:rRNA from 1 species
AGCGAACGCUGGCGGCAGGCUUAACACAUGCAAGUCGAACGGGCGUAGCAAUACGUCAGUGGCAGACGGGUGAGUAACGCGUGGGAACGUACCUUUUGGUUCGGAACAACACAGGGAAACUUGUGCUAAUACCGGAUAAGCCCUUACGGGGAAAGAUUUAUCGCCGAAAGAUCGGCCCGCGUCUGAUUAGCUAGUUGGUGGGGUAAAGGCCCACCAAGGCGACGAUCAGUAGCUGGUCUGAGAGGAUGAUCAGCCACAUUGGGACUGAGACACGGCCCAAACUCCUACGGGAGGCAGCAGUGGGGAAUAUUGGACAAUGGGCGCAAGCCUGAUCCAGCCAUGCCGCGUGAGUGAUGAAGGCCUUAGGGUUGUAAAGCUCUUUUACCCGAGAUGAUAAUGACAGUAUCGGGAGGAAUAAGCUCCGGCUAACUCCGUGCCAGCAGCCGCGGUAAU